UACGGGGGGGGGUAAGCGUUGUUCGGAAUUACUGGGCGUAAAGGGCUCGUAGGCGGCCAACUAAGUCGGACGUGAAAUCCCUCAGCUUAACUGGGGAACUGCGUCCGAUACUGGAUGGCUUGGAUUCGGGAGAGGAAUGCGGAAUUCCAGGUGUAGCGGUGAAAUGCGUAGAUAUCUGGAGGAACACCGGUGGCGAAGGCGGCAUUCUGGACCGACAUUGACGCUGAGGAGCGAAAGCCAGGGGAGCAAACGGGG
rnacentral:rRNA from 1 species